rnacentral:tmRNA from 1 species
GGGGGCGACGGGUUUCGACGGGAUGGAUUGAUGUUGAGGGAAGCAUACCGAGGUCUGCCACCUCGUAAAACAGGCAGAGCAGAAUAACUGCCGAAGAAAACUACGCACUGGCUGCUUAAUAGUCCAGCCAGCGCCCUUUACCUCCUCGCCCGCGGGAUGUAAAGGGCGUCGGUCUAUGCGGGAUAGCCACUAAGGGGUGUCCGAAACCCUUAAUGGCGAAACUUCUUUCGGACCCUUCCCCUUCAUGCCCUGCCUGUGGGGCAGGGGUGGAAGGUAUUCGAUACACAGGCUAAGUAUGUAGAUGCCCUCAGCUGAAACAUCCCGGACGUGGGUUCGACUCCCACCGCCUCCACCA